rnacentral:lncRNA from 1 species
AGUUAGAAGCAGAUCAGAAAUCGAACACGUUUGCUUUUGCGAUUCGAGAGCCCUUUCUGGCGCGGAGCUAGGGGCGGUGUUACGUAGCUGCCCUGAACUGAGAGCAGCGUUGGCCGGGGGCUAGGGAGCCGGGCUGUUCCACGCUCACUGUGCGCCUCGGGCGGCGGGGCUCGGGCUCUGUCCGAGGUGCUGAACUCCGGGGCUCCGGCCGCGCCGGCAGAGUGUGCCAGCGUCCAUUAUUGCCAGUGUCUGUGGGCAUCUUCCAGAAGGCCGAGCAUGGGGGUCAGGUGAAACCAGGGCGGCCUGCACAGUGGCAGCAGCUGUGGCCAGAGGGACACCAGUGGACACAGAGGCCCAGGGAGAGGAGCAGAGGCCAGCAGGAAACAGCAAAUGCAGAGGCCCAAAGUGACCAGGACACCGUCCUUGUGCACAUCCUGGGAGGAGCCGACGUCUAAAGAAGGGCUGAAGCCUGAAAAUCUGGCAUGACUAGAGCUCAAAGUCAUGGCUGCUUGGGGCACUGUUAGAAAUGUGCCUCCUUGUGUUCUCCCAGUGAUGUGAUAAAGGUGGCAUCUCACUGAAAAGGACCAGGGUUAGGAGGGCUCAGGAGCUAUGGGGUGGCCCAGGGACAGAGAGCUGCUCAUCAAAAUCAGUGUCAAAGCUGCAUGUGCAGCCCUGGUGCUCGGGGGGCUCUGGUGCAGGGUGUGCUGUGGCGUUCCUCGACGACGAUGUUGCUUUACUGGGGGAAGUAUCCUGGUACUGGCAGGGUCAGAAGAGGGUAGUGAGGAGUGUGGUGCUUCUGGGAGCCAUGUGAAUUGAAGUGGAAUAAUUAGCCAGGCAUGGUGGAGGGUGCCUGUAAUCCUAGCUACUCAGGAGGCUGAGGCAGGAGAAUCACUUAAACCUGCGCAGAGGCUGCAGUGAGCUGAGAUCACACCGCUGCACUCCAGCCUGAGCGACAAGAGUGAAACUCGGUCUCAAAAAAGAUAUAGAUAGAUAUAGAUAGAUACAGAUGAUAGAUAGAUAGAUAUCUGAAAGAUUCACAGAGAGUAAAUGACAGUGUCCAAACAAAAAGUGUCCUUUCCGCCCUUGCACAGUGCCGCCCCCAUUCCAAAAACUCCCUUUCCACUGACCUGCUGCCUGUGUGCAUUGUAAUCCAGCUCACUCUCUCCCACUCAGAGCUGCCAGGCAGGGCUACAAACACAGGGCACGAAGCUGCCGUCCUCCCUACCUGGCCAGUGGCAAACAUCACUAAACCCAGCCACCCUUCCCACCAAACCUGCCCGAGGCCUUGGGCUUCUUCCCAUCACAGCGGUCCACACAGCCACCGCCUGCCAGUCAGCAUUAGUUACAGCCACCUGACGCUUGUCUUCAAAUCCAAGAGAGAGGUGCAGGUCAACUGUGACCCUGGGGCCGAGGCCAAGUCAACCACACCCAUUUGUUUGGGUAUCACCUAUGCUGUGCUCAUACUGCAAAGGCCAAGUUGAGCAGUUGAGACAGAGACUGUGUGGCCCACAAAGCCUAAGAUAUUGACCACCUGGCCCUUUACAGGAAAAGCCUGCCAACCCCAGUUAGAAGCAAAGCAUGCUCAAAUUUGUAUUUUUUUUCCCAGAAUAAGAUUGUCAUUAAACUUAUAAAUAGGGUUUCUUAACCUAUUCACACAGUGAAAUGCAGACAGCCCGAGAGUUGUUAUCUAAACUAAAAAAGAAGAGAAUGGGAAAACCUAAUUAUCCUGGAUGUCACAUGCUGACUCCAGGGGUGACUAUACUUUAGUUGACUCAACCUUGGUUUGGAAACUUGCUUUCACUCCCUCCCUGGAGUCAGAAGCCUUCCCAGACAGCAUGUUCUCUGGUCUUGGUCUUCGAAGCUACGGGGAGUUGUGCCAAGGAAGCUCACCCUCCACAGGCCUAGAGCACGACGAUGCCAGGGUCAGGUGUUGCUAACAGCCCUUCCCUCUCUUCCACCUCCUCAAGCCCCCUCCCCAGGAACAGUGGAGGGAGAAUGAAAGAAGGCACAGUUUCACCUUCUCCAUCUGCCUUGGAAGCCGCAACAUCUGCCUUCCAAUUAGGAUGGAGUUACCGGGGUGACGGGGUUGGCUAGCAGGCCCCUCGGCUCCUGACUCCUCUGGGGCAGCCCCCUGCUCUAAUGAAGAGCUAAUUAACAUGAAAAGCAUUGAUUUAGCCAACUGCUGCUUGUAUAAUCACAAGGCACUCUCAGCAGCAGCUUCAAAGCUGUCUCUCCCUUCAGAACACAGGAUUCGCAUAAAGCGUGGGACUAAACCCUCCCCGUGUUUUUAAACAGUGAUUUCCCCACACUCCUGAAGUGAAAACACCAGCUCUGUAAGUCGACCACGUAGGCGCCCCUCUCGCUGCCUUCAAGGGGAACUCUGGUGGGUUUGGUAAAUGUUAGUACUUGCCCGUGUGACCCAGAGAUUGGGUUAGGAAUCAGGUUCCAUCUUCUCUCCUGGCUCACAAACGUGUGUGUUGCCAAGAACUAGUAGGAGGCCAUGGCUGUGCUCUAGCUGUCUCAACAGAGAAGUAGCUUAAACCCUUACAGUGAGGGGUGGGGUGCCUUAACUAUAAGGAACAAAGGCAUGAGAGGCCUCUAAGACAACAUCUGCAUGGAUUUGUUUGACUCCCUCAUCCCAAAUGAUGAUCAUUCAUCUCCCUGAUCAUCCAUGUGGGAAAGUUUGAGGCCAGAUACCAGCUCGAAGCAAGACCAAGAAAUUCAGGCUCUGGCUUGGUAGACUUCUGAGGUAGAGUGCCGUAUGAACCAUACUUUUACUGUCUGAAAAUUGAUCUUUAACAUCUACAGGAUGGCUACUAGCUGCUCCCAUGUAAACCCUGCAGUACCCGAAAACAUCCAGAGACUUUAGAUAGCCCCCAAACCAGCCACAAUGGAUGGGAUUUUGCAGGGGCACCACCUCCAAACAUAGCGGGCCAGUCUGCCUUAUGGCCAACCCUUGUGUUCCAGUGGCCCAGCUUGGUGUGCCAUGUUCUCACCAAAGGACUAUCAGUGUCAUAAAACUGUGAAACUCUUUCUAGUUUCUCUCUUGACCUGCAUCUGACCUCAGCAGACUUCACCCAAGGUAGCAUUGGUUAGAAGAAAGCAAGUGGAGCCCAUGAUUCUAAAACUGUGACGACGGAAGGGUCAUUCAUCAAAGGUUUUGACUGAAGGAAGUGAAUUGGAAGCCAAGGGAAAAUUCCAAGAAAGAAAAGGACUUAACUGAAAAAAGGUCAUUAUAGACUCAAUCCCUUUCCUUUAUUUAUAAGUUUAAUAGAUUAGUUUGGAAUUUGUUGAAGAUACUUUUCAUCCAGAUUUCAGGGAGGUACAUAGCAUGGUAACCCUGUGAAGACAUUGGAGCAAUGGAUAGUUAUACAUCCAGGUAGAUCGGAAACCAGUUCAACAACUCUAGCCAAAGGCUAUUGAUAAAAGACAACUGACAUCUAGAAGGAGGUCAGAGCCACUAACUAGACGGUAGCUGUGCCUUGGAUGAAGCUUAUCUAAUUUGCAGCUGUCAUGAAGUUGAGUACAAUACUGAACAAGUCGACGACAGACUCCUCUGUACGGCAGCAUCACUUUGUCAUUAAGCACACAGACUCUGAGCUGAAUCUGCCCAGGAUCGGAUCCCAGCUCCAGCACUUACUAGCUAGUUAUGUUUCGCAAAUUACUUAGGCUGUGAGUAUUAGUUCCAACACUCAACUGAGCCUCUCCCUCAUUAAACCAACAAGAGAAUUUAAAGGGAUUGUAUAGGCCAGGUAAGGUGGCUCACACCUGUAAUCCCAAUACUUUAGGGGGCCAAGGUGGCAGAGUCGCGGGAGUCCAGGAGUUUGAUGCCAGCCUAGGAAACAUAGUGAGACCAUGUCUCUAGUAAAAAUAAAAAUAAAAUAAAAAUGUAAUUAGCUAGGCAUGAUGGCACACCCUUAUAGUCCCAGCUACUCAGGAGCCUGAGGGAGGAGGAUCAAGGAUGCAGUGAGCCGUGUUCAUGCCACUGCACUCCAGCAUGAGUGACAGAGCAAGACCACAUCUCUUAAAAAAAUAAGAAAGAGGGCUGGGCAUGGUGGUUCACACCUAUAAUCGCAACACUUUGGGAGGCUGAAGCGGGCAGAUCAUUUAAGGUCAGGAGUUCAAGACCAGCCUGGCCAACAUGAUGAAACCCUGUCUCUACUAAAAAUACAAAAAAAUUAGCUGGGUGUGGUGGCACAGCUACUGGGAAGGCUGAGGCAGGAGAAUCACUUGAACCCAGGAGACGGAGGUUGCAGUGAGCUGAGAUCCAACCACUGCACUCCAGCCUGAGCAACAGAGUGAGACUCUGUCUCAAAAAAAUGUAAAAAUAUAAAGAAAAGAAUAAAAAGGAUAGUAUCUGUAAAGUGCCUGGAACAGAGUUAGUGUUCAACAACUGUCAGCAGUGUUGUUAGCUGAGGCUGGUCACUGGGUGACUGUAAUAUCAGUCAGGGUCUCAGUGAUAACAGAAAAUACACUCAAAUUGGGAUAAUGUGAGGAUGGAUUGCUUUCUAAAGGGACUAUUUACAAAGGUGUGCUUGAGAUUUAAAGAAUCUGAAGAUAGUGCUAUAACCCAGGGUAGCAAUUGCAAAGCCAUUACCACUCCUAAGCCUAAGGGCCGAGGGGAGGAAGCAGUUGUUAAAACCCAGAGGGAGAGAGAAGCAUAGAAAGGAGGCCACCAAGGGAAACAGUGUCCUUUGGUUGAAGGACACAGGUGACCACCCUGGGAGGAAGUGAGCGGAGUAAACACCCCCACCCUCUCUCUGAUUCCAGCUGGAGCACCCAUUGGCCAAACCCAACAAGAAGCGCAAGAAUGGGUGAGCCUGGCCAUACAGGUCAGUUUCUGGGGCAGAAAGCGGGGUGGAAAAAGGUGACAGUGGGUCUGGAGGGACAGAAAGACACCUGGUACGAGCAUGUUACAUUUGUUGGGGACAAAGUUAAAAUCCUGCCUGUCAUUUCAAUGAAGCGACUACAACAAUAUUCAGGAUGGCAGAUAUUUAAGAGCAGCAUCUAGAAACAAUGAUUAAAAGGGUUCAGUCGGCUACAAGUCCAAUAUUCAGCCAUUCAUUCAUUUACUCAGCAAAUGCAGGGAAUGCACACUGUGUGUCCAGACCUGCACUAAGCAUGACAAUACAAAAAUAAACAGAACAAGAAUGUAUCCUGAGCAG